UACGUAGGGUGCAGGCGUUAAUCGGAAUUACUGGGCGUAAAGCGUGCGUAGGCGGCCUACUAAGUCAGACGUGAAAUCCCCCGGCUUAACCUGGGAACUGCGUCUGAUACUGGAAGGCUUGAGUAUGGGAGAGGGAUGUAGAAUUCCAGGUGUAGCGGUGAAAUGCGUAGAGAUCUGGAGGAAUACCGGUGGCGAAGGCGGCAUCCUGGACCAUUACUGACGCUGAGGCGCGAAAGCUAGGGGAGCAAACGGG
rnacentral:rRNA from 1 species